UACGUAGGUGGCAAGCGUUGUCCGGAAUGAUUGGGCGUAAAGCGUCCGCAGGUGGCAGUGUAAGUCUGCUGUCAAAGGUCAGGGCUUAACUCUGAACAGGCAGUGGAAACUACACAGCUAGAGUGCGGUGGGGGCAGAGGGAAUUCCCAGUGUAGCGGUGAAAUGCGUAGAGAUUGGGAAGAACACCGGUGGCGAAAGCGCUCUGCUAGGCCGUAACUGACGCUCAUGCACGAAAGAGUGGGGAGCAAACAGG
rnacentral:rRNA from 1 species